AUGGCCAUAUAGCGUUGGAACACCGGUUCCCGUAAGAUUACCGAAGUUAAGCAACAUCGAACAUGGUCAGUACUGAGAUAAAUCUCCGCUUGGGAAUACCAACUGCUGUAAG